UACGUAGGGGGCAAGGCGUUGUCCGGAUUUAUUGGGCGUAAAGAGCGUGUAGGCGGCCAUGCAGGUCCGUUGUGAAAACUGGAGGCUUAACCUCCAGACGUCGAUGGAAACCGUAUGGCUAGAGUCCGGAAGAGGAGAGUGGAAUUCCUGGUGUAGCGGUGAAAUGCGCAGAUAUCAGGAAGAACACCCGUGGCGAAGGCGGCUCUCUGGGACGGUACUGACGCUGAGACGCGAAAGCGUGGGGAGCGAACAGG
rnacentral:rRNA from 1 species